UCUGGCAGGCACAACAAGGUUCACUCUAGGACAAUUAAGCACCAAUAACUGUUAAGUGUUGUCCUAUCCUAUAUCACUCUAAUUACACUGGGGGAAAAAAAAUGGAUUGUGUUGGGAAGAGCUGAAAGAAUGCUGCCAAUCGCUGGAGGCAGACGUGUUUAUCAAUCUGUGUAUCUUGAAGUCUGACAUGAAAUCUGCAGCCUCUGGUGCAGCUGAAAAACAAGCUGUCACCACCCAGCAAGCCAGAGGGGCCGGUGGGGAGCCAGCAAGACCCUGCCAAAAGCUACAAGAUGAGGGAAAAUCAAACUCAAGCUGAACAUACCUUUUCCAUCCACUCUGUUCAGUAUUUGAAUUUCUCCCCACUCCAUCUGUUUGGAAAACUGCUCUGCCCAGAAGCCCAUGAGUAUAUCAUUACAUUAGACCUGAAAGUUCAUGUCAGAGAUAUACGGCAGUCCUACCAUGCUGAAGAUUGCUCACUUCAGAGGCAAAACACACUCCAGUGGAUCACUGCAUUUCAUAAUCAUCCCGAAUAAAAAAAUAUAGGAUAAACACUUCAAGCAGA